GAAGUAGAGUUUACAACCGCUAUUUCUUAAUAUUAUUAAUGGAAAUAGAGGAAAGUCCGGGCUCCAUAGGAUAUGACGCCGGAUAACGUCCGGACUUUGCAAGUAAUUGCAAGGAUGGAAAGUGCAGCAGAAAGUAUACCGCCGGGAAUCCGGUAAGGGUGAAAUGGUGAGGUAAGAGCUCACCGCAUGAAUGGCGACAUUUAUGGCAUGGUAAACCCCGUCAGGAGCAAUGUUAAGUAGAAAGAGGGCUAUCCGUUCAUUAACUUUCGGGUAAACAGCAAAAGAGUGUUAUAGUAAUAUAAUUACCAGACAGAUGGUUGUUUCAAACAGAACCCGGCUUACGGCUCUACUUUUUGA
rnacentral:RNase_P_RNA from 1 species